GUGUGUGUGUGUGUGUGUGUGUGUGUGUGUGUGUGUGUCUGUCUGUCUGUCUGGCUGCAUGUGUGUUGGUGGCCAACAAACGUGUGUACCAGCCAGAUCCAACAAUUUUAUAGGAAUGUGACGAUGAGGAAGAGUGUGUGUGAGUGUGUGUCUGUGUGUGUGUGUGCGUGUGUGUUUGUGUGUGCCUGCGUGUGCAUAACGUGGAUGUCAAUGUGUAUAUACAUGAAGUGUGUAUGUUUAUGAUAUGUGUGGCGUGUACACUGAUAUGCACACACACAAACACACAUAUCACACUCGUGUGCGUCGCAAUUCUCACACACUUUACGUGGUUGGGUCUCUAGGCUCUCAUGUCAUAGUUGAUAUCAUGCAUACACACUCACCAACACACUACGUACUCACAUGUUAUGUACAUAUACACACUUUGAUGUAUGCGUAUGAGUGAGUGUACAUUAAAGUGUGUAUAUAUGUUUCAGGUCUGUGUAUCAUCACUGGCUAGGCCUGCAGGACCUCCCCCAAGGAAAGGGGCCCCACUAAUGUGAAGCAUCUGAUGGAGACUCAGACACAGAACCGACCUCGGACCGGGCCCACGCCAGAGUGUCAUCUGGAAAACAGAUGUGGUCUUGGCCAUUUCCUGCAUAUCUAAUCUGAUACAGAGUGCCACAUUUUCGUCUAGUUAAUGAAAGGAAAAGUGAUUUACUGACACACGCUGUAGUCCUACUGCGCCUUGGCCCGUUUCCGAUGCUUAUGGACUUACGAUGGCCAAUGAAGUCAGCUCAACUUCACACAAGAGUCAAGACAUGGCGGGCCAGCCAGACCCGACUCAGCUUGGCCACAAAUACGACCAUAAAUAUUAUUCUUGACCUACUCAUUGAACACAAAGUCCACUCUAUCACGAUGACAUCUUCAGUAUUAUUAUGAUUACAUUAUAAUUAAUCAUACAUAAUUACUAUGACUACAUGAUGAGUAUGAAUACACUGAUCUUAUAGGAAUACACUACAAAAAUGUUCCUGUAGAGUGAAAAUAAAUUUGACACACCAGAGUCAUUAACAACCUUGUCAAAUUAAAUGAAUUAAAAAACACCAGAUAUAUAAAACGAGCCUUCAUAAUCAUAAAACAUCAGGCCACUUUCUUCGCGCUUCGACGCUGUGGCCAUGUCCACUGACUGUGUGACAACAAGGCACUCUAAAGCAGCCACGCCAGAGCAAAAUCGAUGUCCAAACAACUGCAGGCACGUAAAAAAAA